AUGGAUAAAGCGGGACUCGCCUUUCUGGUGCUCAUACUCGUGCUCAUCUCUAUCGUGAUGAGCAUACUUGCGGUCGAGCGAGAACCGGA
rnacentral:sRNA from 1 species